GCCGAGGUAGCUCAGUUGGUAGAGCAGCGGACUGAAAAUCCGCGUGUCGUUGGUUCAACUCCGACCCUCGGCA
rnacentral:tRNA from 1 species